CAUUGUCCCAAAGGUGGGAAGGCGUUUAUGUAAAAAAAUAGCCCAUACAUACUAACGCUUCGCAUCUUCCUCUCUGACCCUUCUCUGCGUGUGCAGGGUACAAUUUAUCCUAAAUAAAAUACUUUCGACCACUGGCGUCGGGUGCGCUUGCACUAGUGGCGAUCCGUCGUAUGAGCGUGGACCAAAGUGCUUAAAGGUAUGCCACCCUGUGCGCGCAUAAGAAAACGUUAUCCAUCACUCUGGCAACAUCUUUACUUUGGCCUCCGUCCCCGCAGGAGGCAUUUUGCCUUUUGACAAGAAACCUGGAGAAGAACCGUGGUGAAGGAGAAGGACUGUGGCCUGUCAUGGAAUAACAUUCCCAAAAAGACUGGAGAUCAGCAGCAGUGGUGCUCUCUCAUGGAAAACUUGUGUUCCACAUAGGAAUGAAGAGGAUUAAGUAUGAGUAUUUAUUCCAUAUCAACACUCAUCAACACUCACAAUGGACCCAGCAUCUGAUGAUUGAAGCCUCUAUGGCCGAAACGUGUCCAUUUUAACAUCAGAUGUAGCCUAAACACAGAACUGACAAAAGCCAUUCUAUGUUAAAAGAAGAAUAAAAGACACCUCUCAAUCAAGAUGAGUUUUCUUUAAUGGUAAUAGACAUACAUUAAGUGAAUUUAUGAUGAAACGUCAAAGCACACAUAAGCCAUCGGAAAUUACAAUAGGUUACAGUGCAUCCCACAAUUUCAAAAUAAGAGUCCACUCUUCCUAAGCGUUCUACGAUUAUGUCUCUACUAAAAGCUUGAGGUGUCAUUGAUGCAUGAGU